GUGAUCGUAUCAUUUGACAGUUCAACGUGCGCUAUCUUUCUCCCUCUCCCUCACACACGCACAGAUAUAAAGACGUAAAGACAUAGAACAAUAUAGAGGAAGAUCUUUAAGAAGGACAACAUGAAAAUAGCCCAGCGGCAUGUACACAUUCACUGCUAGUCCAGGUGGCACUGCGGCCACACGACAUAUAACAAACAACAUAGUUCUCUCAAUCAACAGCCCGUCAGCAGUCCCCCAACUACAAGAGUGUGUGCAUGCCCAACGCUCGGGAACUGGGCACGGUGAGGGGGAGGGGAGGAGAGGAGAGUCCCAGGCUGACUCGCGUUGAUUUGAACGACAGUCCAGUCACGGCCCUGAAAUGUUGACGCUACUCACUGAUUAUGCACUUAAUCUGGUGAUUCAUAUGACAGGAAUGGUCGGUAUGGUGACGGGUACCGCAUUCGGCCAUAGGUUUAGUUGAACUUAUUUAAUACCAUUUUACGGAAAAUGGCAUUAUUUCAAAUAUGUUGUUUGUGUUUGACAAAAAAUCAGGGGUUGCUCUGGGGUUUCUGAGUAAUUGCUUGGAGUUGCUAUAGCAACGGCAAGCAACCGUUUGGCGCCGCCCCUGCUCGGUGUGGAAUGAGAGCUCGUGGCAUACUGCCCGAGAAUGCAGUAUCGCUCCGCCCUCCUCCCAUUGACUCAGAUGUUAAAAAAAAAUAGUAUUUUAGAAGUAGAAUAUCUUAAAAACUGUAAAAUAUUUAAAAAAUCUGAAAAGAAGCGCCCGAUUACAAGCUAUUCUGAACAUUUUAAAACCUAUAACCAAAUUCAAACUAUUUGGUAAUAGGUUAUUUUGGUCACCAAAUAGGUGUGUCUACAAUCCAGUAUCGCUCCAAGGCGUACGUUUGUCCACAUCGCAAGGCGUGUUCAGGGACCUUUGCUCGAGCAAAGCUCGAGCAAAGGUGAACACGCCUUGCGAUGUGGACAAACGUAUCUAUUUUACGCCUUCAAUCAAUCAAUAAACUUUAAUGUCAUUGCACAUGUUACAGAGCAACGAAAAAGACCAGUUACAUUCCGUCCAAGAAACAUAAAAGACAGUUUGGGGAGACAGGAC
rnacentral:lncRNA from 1 species